AACUCUAGAUGUUGAUGAUGUUGUUGUUCAAAUCAAGUAUGGUGAUGAUGAACUUCUUAAAUAUGCACUUAAUGGAUUAAAGUCAUUGGUUUUGGAUGGUAUGAUUACUAAAGAAGGGAUUCAUCAUGAAGAUAUGAUCCCGGUUCUGUUUAAUCGAUUGAGUUCAAGUAAAACAGAUCAUAGAUUGAUUAUACUCAGAAUACUACAAGCCCUGGCCGCUCAAGAUGAUGAACAUAAGGUACAUUUAGUAUUAAUUGAGUCUAAAUAUUGAGAAUCAAGAAGCUGAAUGUUUUGAGUGGUUAAUUUUCACUUUGGUGUGCAGGAAAAGAUGGCAGAAAUGGGGAAUUUAUCGAUACUGGUGAAGUCGUUGGGUCAUGAUUUGGAAGAGCAGAAAGAAGCAGUGGGGCUGUUACUGAGUCUAUCAGAUGUUGCUGCAGUUAGGAGAAGAGUCGGGAGAAUUCAAGGCUGCAUCGUUAUGUUGGCUGCAAUUUUUAAUGGGGACGAUCAAAUGUCUUCACAUGAUGCUGCCAACUUGUUAAAUUCUUUAUCAGGCAAUACCCAAUAUGCUCUUCAUAUGGCUGAGGCUGGCUAUUUCAAGCCUCUUGUACACUACUUGAACCAAGGUAUAUUUAGGACACUUCCAUCAAUAUGCUAUUUGAUUAAUUGUUUACGUAAUAUAUAUUCUAUGUAAGCGAUUGCAGGAUCAGAUAUGAGUAAGAUUCUAAUGGCAACAGCACUUUCAAGAAUGGAACUCACAGAUCAAAAUAGAGCUAACCUGGGACAAGAUGGAGCCGUUGAACCGCUAGUCAAAAUGUUCACCUCCGGGAACCUAGAAGCUAAGCAAUCGUCUCUAAACGCGUUGCACAACUUGUCUGCCUUGAAAGCAAACGUUCAACGUCUUAUAAAAUUGGGCAUCGUUGCUACUCUGCUACAGCUUCUUUUCUCCGUGACAUCGGUGCUCAUGACUCUAAGAGAGCCAGCAUCUGCAAUUCUUGCAAAAAUAGCAGCUCAAUCGGAAGUUGGCAUAGUACUAGUGAAACAAGAUGUUGCUCAGCAGAUGAUUUCGCUCCUUCAUCUGACUAGUCCAGUAAUCCAGUGUCACUUGUUAGAAGCACUUAAUGCCAUCGCUGCUUGUCCGAAUGCUUCAAAGGUCAGAAGAAAAAUGAAGGAAACUGGCGCUGUUCGCCUUCUCUUACCAUUCCUAACAGAAAGCCGCAAUACCAAGAUUAGAAAUGGAGCUUUAAAUUUGAUUUACGUAUUGUCUAAUGAUAUGCAAGGCGGGGAGCUAAUGGAGCAGCUAGAACAAAUGCAUCUGAAUACAUUGAUCAACAUCGUAUCAUCAUCAUCCACGACAGAUGAUGAAAAGGCUGCUGCUGUUGGCAUACUAAGCAACUUUCCAGUGAGUGACAAGAAUGUCACAGACAUGUUUAUAAAAGCAAACCUACUGCCCAUUUUGGUUUCCAUAUUGACAUCAAGUACACCUACAACACCACAUUUACUAGCUGAGAACGUCUCUGCAGUACUAAUCCGAUUCACCCUUCCAUCAGACAAGAAACUACAACACUUCUCUGUCGAAAAUGGUGUGAUCAGCGUUUUGGUAAAGCUCCUCACAUGUGGCUCAAUCAUAGCCAAAUGUAGAGCUGCAACAUCACUUACUCAACUAUCUCAAAACUCACUCACUCUACGAAAAUCAAGAAAGUCAAGAUGGUUUUCAUGUGCCCCUCCACAUUCUACAGACACAUUUUGUCAAGUACAUGACGGGCACUGCUCUAUAAAAACCACAUUCUGUUUGGUAAAAGCAGGGGCAAUGCCUCCGCUAGUCCAAAUAUUGCAAGGCAACGAAAGAGCAGCGGACGAAGCUGCUCUAAGUUGCCUUGCAACAUUACAACAAGACGAGAUUUGGGAAAAUGGGAGCAACUUGUUAGUGAAAAUGUCAUGUGUACAACCAAUUAUCAAGAUUCUUGAAGAAGGGAUUAGCUUAAAAGCUCAAGAGAAGUCCCUGUGGAUUUUGGAAAAGAUAUUCAAAGUGGAGGCUUAUAGAGUAGAGUAUGGUGAAUAUGCACAAGUUGUGCUAAUUGAUUUAGCACAAAAUGGGGAUUCAUUGUUGAAACCUACAGUGGCUAAAUUAUUAGCACAACUUGAGCUCUUGCAGCAACAAUCAAGUUACUUUUGAGACAAAGCAAAAACAAAAAAACUUCUUUUUUUCCCCAAUUAUUUGUUGAUUGAUUGAAAUGUUGAAAUUUGUAUAGUAAGUGCUCAUACAGAUAAACUUUUUUAUGGUGCAAAUGUUCUCUCAUUGUACAAAUUACAGGAAAAAAAGGUUAUUAGAGAUGACUGAAACUUGUUGUCUUCAGAAAGUACAUUAUUUUAGCUUUGGCUGCCAUUUUGGUGCCAUUUUUUCUGCAAUUUUGCUGUAGUUUUGAUCCAAUGGCAUGAACAAGAACAACUUGCAAAUUUUAUACACCAAAUAAAUGAAGGAAACCUGUGCAAAAUAUCAACUUUACAAGUAUGACAGCUUCAUAAAUGGAGGAAACCUCGGCAAAAUAUCAAGAAUAAUUAUAGAUAUCAAAACCAGUGAUGCAACUUCACUGAUAUAAAUGUAGAGCAGAAGUUCCCUUAACCGGGAAAUAACAUCAUCCUAAUAGACACUGGUAUGUCACUCUGGGUGUAGUUCCCAAAUGUGCAAAUUCUAAUUUUAAAAGAAGUAAAUUUGUCUAGUCUGAUUUAGCUUCGGAAGUUGGUCAACUUAGAGCUCAAUUAAAGAAAAGUUCAAAAAAUUAUGGAUGGAGGGAGUGCUUUGGGAUUAAGUUAGUUGUUCCACUCAGGAAUUUUUUAUUUGGCCUGUGACUUGUAUGUUGGUGGGCGUUUAAGUGUGAAAUUAGUGGACCUUUAGUUGUAGAGAAUCCCAUAAUGAACAUAAAGGUUUCAUUUAUUCGGCUCCGACUAGAUAGGGAGUGAGGCAUAGGGGAUUGGUUAAUUUAAUGAGAUUGUAUCUGUUUUAAAGGCCAGAGGUAAAGCAAAGUAAAACAAAUCUGUGCUCCUCUCAUGCUGGUGUUGUCUUUCUUCCAUACAAUCAAAUCAAAUUUCUUCGACUUCAAGUUAUUGUCUCUUUCACUCUCCUUGUAGCUUGUCUCUUUUAAGAUUCAAGUCUGAUUGCUUUAAUUUGGUUUAAUAAUUUGAUUGUCCCACUAAGUUUACUCUGAAAUUAAUGCUUUCUUUGGCGUAUGUAGGUUGGAGCAAUCAUCUCAGGCGUUCAGCCAGGUUUAUCCAUGGUUUGGGACCCCCUGGUACGGGAAAGACUGAUAAUGCAAGUCAUUGGUUUUGGAUGGUAUGAUUACUAAAGAAGGGAUUCAUCAUGAAGAUAUGAUCCCGGUUCUGUUUAAUCGAUUGAGUUCAAGUAAAACAGACCAUAGAUUGAUUAUACUCCGAAUACU
rnacentral:lncRNA from 1 species